rnacentral:rRNA from 1 species
UACUAGAGUAGCACUCGCAUAUCAAUAAGCGGAGGAAAAGAAACUAACAAGGAUUCCCCUAGUAACGGCGAGUGAAGCGGGAAGAGCUCAAAUUUGAAAUCUUAAAGGGUUUCCCUUUACGAAUUGUAGUUUAAAGAAGUGUUUUCUGUUGAGGUUUUGGUAAAAGUUCUUUGGAAUAGGACAUCAUAGAGGGUGAGAAUCCCGUAUUUGACCUUUACUUUCAACUUUGUGAUACACUUUCAAAGAGUCGGAUUGUUUGGGAAUGCAGUCCAAAAUGGGUGGUAAAUUUCAUCUAAAGCUAAAUAUUGGCGAGAGACCGAUAGCGAACAAGUACCGUGAGGGAAAGAUGAAAAGAACUUUGAAAAGAGAGUUAAACAGUACGUGAAAUUGUCAAAAGGGAAGCGUUUGACACCAGUGUUGUUUUUCUGAAAAUCAAUUAAAGAACUGUUUAUGCUAAGUUGUUUAGACUUUAUCAGCUAACUGUUUAGUUUUGAGCUUUUCUUUAAUGCACUUUUCAGUUAACAAGUCAACAUCAAUUUCUUUUGCUGUAAAAAAGCUUGAGGAAGGUGGCUUGAGAUUCGUCUUAAGUGUUUAUAGCCUCUUGCCUAUGCAGUCGGAGAGAUUGAGGUCUGCAGCGUAGAUCCUUCGGGGCUAAAUGCAUUUGUGCUAAGUUAUAGCAUUUUAUAGACAACUUGUUGACUAUGAUUUGUCUUGUAGCUUACUCGCUUAUGUUAUUUUACCUACGCUUAGGAUGUUGAGUAGCGACAUACGCAC